UGAAUUUUAACUGGUUCGCAAGAAAACAGUAAAUACAGAACGACGUAAGAGAUAUGUAUUUAAAACAAUAUCGAAGAUCAUAGUAAAUGAUUUCUUCUGUAGAUCACAGUAAAUUACCAGAGAAGAGUAACAAAAGGACUUAUAUACGAUUAUAGUGGAUAUAUACGAUUAUAGUGGAUCACUUUUAAAUCUACGUCAACUUUUCACCAUUACUGAUUUCAUUAAAAUAGAAUUCAGAGUCCUUAAAAAAAUUCGGACUUACCAGAAUUCUCUCUUAUUUGUUUCUCGCUCCACAACAGUAAUAAACAGUAACAACAGUGUAAGGAGAAACCAAUCAUACGUCUAAAUAUGUAGUACGUAUCGAACGGUGUGAGUGGACAACUAUGUUAUGUAUCCUAAAUCUAUAUAAUAAAAAAAAGACAUAGGGCAAAGAACGUCUAGUUUCAUCAGGGAUGCUAUUCUGAUGAAGAGAAAUCAGAAACAUAAUGGGGAACCUAAUGCAACAAUGGCUUGUGCGUGAGCAAUCUCACUCGGUUUUUAAUAUCAAGGCUUGAACUUGUUUUUAUUCAUUUUGCCAAGGUAAAUCCUAGCCUAGUCUAAAUUAUUGUAACUUGUUACAAACUCUUUCCCCUUUUUUUUUAAUAGAAUUCACAUAUUUGGCACACACAAAAGAACGUCAAAUAAUUUUAUGUAUUGAUAGAUUUUAGAUUAGUAAUCAAACGUUCGGCCUUAAAAAUUAUGUUAUUUGCACUCUCUCGUGCAGGGGCGAUUUAAGUGGGGGAUAAACGUUGAGACUGCUUCGGAUUCGAUAUGAUGUCCCCCAUUUUUAUGUAGUUUCCAUAUAUAUAUAUAUAUUUCAUCAAUUUUUAUAAAAAAUUAUAUAUAUAUAUAUAUAUAUAUAUAUAUUUAGUAUUAUCAUAUUUUGAACAUCUAUGAAAACUUUAAAUAAAUAUUAGGUUUAAGGAUACAAAAAAAAAAUUGCACUAGGGCCAUCAAAUUCUUGAGCUGGCCCUGUCUUGUUGUGAUUAAGGCUAUUUUUUUUGGUGAAACAAUCAAGGCUAUUAAUGUUUUACAGUCGGUUUUAAACGCAAGUUGAUCCUAUGUUGAAAAUUGUAAUUUCAUAGAAGAACAAAUUCUUUUGUUUUUUUUUUUAAUUUCUUUUUCCCGUUCCUGGCCCUUUGAUGUGACUUUCCAUCAAUGAUUCAAUAUAUAAUGCGAGUUUGACGUCACACGUUUUUUUUUUGGAUAAAAAAAAUGCGAGUUUGACGUCACACGUUUUCCAUAAAGAUAUCGCUAACUAUUUUCAUCCCAAAGAGGUAAUUAAUCUUGCAAAACAGGUAGACAGUUCCAGAAAAGUGGACUAAGAAUAAUUUUCUAUUGUUGACAAGCAUAGAUUCGAAAAUCCGUAUAUACCAAAGGAACCCAAAUAAUUACAAUAUUAUUCCAAACUUCUUGAAACAAAAGGUUCAAUGAAAUUGGAGAAGAGAAAUCAUCUCGCUGCUCUAUGUACGUCUAUAAAUAGUGGCUUCAAGAAUCCUCAUCAUCAUCUCAUCACCAACCUUCUGGUACUUCUCUACCCCCAUACAUACAUGAUACAUCUAACAAUAUAGUUCUCCAAUAUAUACAAAGAUGUUGAGUUAUAACUACAAUGAUCACCAAAUUUGGUAUUUUUAUCAAGAUCUUGAUAGUCGCUAGAGAGUGUUGCCGCUGAAUAUAGUGACGCUGAAUAAAACAGCGUUCAUCGGAAUUGCCUUCGUCGUCAAACGCGGGUGUCACCGCCAUUUAUUCUCCGCAUCCUUAAGCCUCAAGAAACUUACAAUUAGGCAUUGUUUUGAAGGAUUGACGCUGACGCUGCGAUCCUUUACCGAACAGGGCUAAUGAUAUUUCAAAGCUCAAGUGUAAGCAAAUAACAAAGAAUGAAUGGAUGCAUUAAGCUCACAGGUCACUGGACAAUAAGGCGACACUUGAUCUAUAAGGUUAAGAGAAGUAAAGACAGGAGGUAACACCCAGACGUGAGAUGCUACAUUAGAGAUUAGUGAGUGAGAAGCAUCCUCUCUUGCUCGGUGAGUGAGUGACGGAAAUGGCAACGGUGACCAUAAGGACAGGUGGCUCCGGUGACGAUCAUACGGCACACUUCGGUUUUGUAGCGAGGGUGCCUUAUCACCG